GAUUCCUAAGAGCCAAAGCAGGAAGACUGGAGGAAAGGAAAGCGAAACUCUGCUUGCCGGUACAGUGUCACUUUGGACUUGGGCACUGAGGCGGCUGGGGCGCCACGGUUGGAAGUGCAGGAACUUGUCUGGCUUAUAACUCACAAGGUGGUAACUUGUAAGGCAGCCAGAGCUGACUGACUAGGAGCUCUGCAGGAUGGACAAGGUGUUAGGCCGCAUCCAAAUUCUGGUUCUGCAAUCAGACUCAGAGGGCUCAGGCUUCCCUGCAAGUGUGUGGCUACAGGGCAGGACGGCCCUACAGCUGACCAUCUGAGCUCAGCCUGAGCUCCCAGCACUGUGGGCUGCAGACCAGUCAGCAUGAGUGCCAGGGACUCAUACUUCCUCCAUUUUCUGUGGCACAGAAGUCGGCCCCGGACGGGGAAGCUGAGGCUCAGAGGAUGGACAGGAGCUGCCUGGAGUGAAGCUGGUUGCUGCCGGGCAAACCCAGGUAGCUCAG